GAUGAACGCUGGCGGCGUGCCUAAUACAUGCAAGUCGAGCGGACAGGCGCGGAGCUUGCUCCGCUGACGUUAGGGGCGGGCGGGUGAGUCACGCGUGUAUACCCUACCUGUCAGAGUGAGAUCACUUGGAAAAACGGGAUCAUAUACGGGAUGAUCUAUUGAACCGCGUGGUUCAAUGGUGAAAGACGGUUUUGGUGUCACUUCUAGAUGGAUCCGCGCCGGAUUAGGUGGUUGGUAAGGUAACGGCUUACCAAGGCAACGAUGCGUAGACGACGGGAGAGGGGGAUCGGCGACACUGGAGGGUAGACACGGUCAAGACUCCUGCGAGAGGGAGCAGUAGGGAACGGUCCGCAAUGGUCGAAAGCAUGACGGAGCAACCGCACGCGAGUUAUGAAGGCCUUCGGAGCGUGAAACUCUGUUACGAGGGAAGAACAAAUGUGUAAGUAACUAUGCACUUCUUGACGGUACCUAAUCAGAAAGCCCCGGCUAACUACGUG
rnacentral:rRNA from 1 species